GAGCGGCCUCCGGAUGUAAAUAGUGCCAGCUACAGCUAACAUAUAGCUAGCUAGCUACUUGUCGAGACAAGAUGGCAUUUACCUUAUACUCUCUUAUACAAGCAGCUAUUCUGUGCAUCAAUGCUGUCGCUGUACUACACGAAGAAAGAUUUCUAAGUAAAAUUGGCUGGGGAGUGGAUCAAAGUGUCGGGGGAUUUGGUGAUGAACCAGGCAUCAAAGUCCAGCUAAUGAACCUUAUCCGCUCCGUCAGAACAGUCAUGAGAGUGCCACUGAUCGCAGUGAAUUCAGUCUGCAUUGUGCUGCUGCUUCUAUUUGGGUGAAGAAGUUUAAAAGCGGGGACGGGACAGACGAGUCAGGACAUCUCCGUCACCUCAGGAACCACUGAAGAAGACACAAUGUCCCCUUCAGCCUGGAUAUGAAUGUUCUCUUUGUAUAUUUAUAUACAUGAGUUGUUGGAUGGUUUUGUGUUUUUUGUUAAGCUCUCUUUGCAGCCAAUAAGAGUGACAUCUCCCCUUCGUUUUGGAAAAAAAAUAAAUAAAUAACGAAUUGCUGAAUAGUUUGAACUUUUCAGACAGUAAGCAAAAAUAAAUAUUUUACACUGUACUAGUAAAUUGGUGAGAGGAGCCGACUCUAAAACAGCUGUAAUGUAUACUCUGAAAAAUAUGUAAAAUAAUUGUGGAAUAAGUGAUUGUGCAUCGACAGUAAAGAUUUUUUAAAAGCGUCACCGAGUGCGCGUUUCAUUGCUGAUGAGCCGAAAGCGCACUGUUUGUCCCAGGGCGCUUGCCGUACUGUUGCAUGCACUUGGAGCUAACCUUGCUAAGCGGUAUCUGUGAGCCUACAUGGAUAUUUUAAUAGAUAAUGGGGAAUGUGCAGAGUUACAUUGUGGCCUCACUGUCUGUAUGUUCCGUGUAUUUAGUUUACGUUCACGUUUACUGCGCUCACAAGCUGCUGAAAACAACCGAACUGCAUAGCGACAAACUUCCGAGUAAUGCGUAUGUUUACAUGAAAUACCUGAGCAGAAGAGUGACCCGGAGAACAGGCUGCUUAUACGGUACAGAGAAACAAGAAGCUGUUUAUACAGUGGUCACCUGCAGGGUGGAGGAUACUCUGUUGCGGAGGUUCUGCAGUGCUGCAGGUUAUGGUUGGGAUUAUCCAGACAGUGAAUACAGAGACAUCCCGCUGUGCUUCCCGGAGUUUCUCUGCGGCAGACCUCUCCUUAUGUUGUUAACUCAUGAAAACUUCAGGCUCAGCCCAGCAGGUCUUGUCCAUGUGCGUCAGAGUUUAAAAACCUUUCAGCCAAUCGAUGAGCUGAAGAAGGGUCCAUUCACCCUGCGGGUGCAAGUCCUGGGGUACCAGCCGACUGAUCUGGGGGUGGAGGUGGACAUCUGUCUGUCUGCUACUUCCCGCUCCAGAUGCGUAGUGUGGGAGAGCGUCCUGACACUGCUUUCUGAAAACAAGCUUCACAAAGCCAUCAGAUGUUCACCUAAGAAUGAAAAUGAGAGUGAGAAAGAUGAGCCAGCACCAGACACUCUGAAGCAGGUGGAGCUCAAAGUUCCCUGGACUCCCGACCUGAAGUGUACAUGGAGUUUUCCAUGUAAGCUCCUCUAUCUGCUGGCCAGGCUCUUUAGAUUCACACCUCACAGAGCACCAAGUCUCUGGAUGUUCUCUGUCUGCUUGGCUGAAAUCGAAAAGCACAAAGGGGUUAAAGUGAUCACAGCUCCUGUCACCGUCACUGCCCAGUUUAAGGAGCCUCUGCUGGUUCCAGGAAAGGUGACAGUCAGUUUUUGGGAGGCACCCGAAAAAAGGGAACAGUCCCAAAGCCUCUGCUUUCAGAUGCAGCAACACAGAGGGGGCAAAGCUCACCUGGUGGGACUGAUUUCUAGGUGUUGAUGAUUAACAAAGAAUGUUGUUAUUUGUUGUUCAGAUUUUCACUGUUAGCAGUUUGACUGUUAGUAGAUUGUCAGGUUACAGUCAACUGAAUUCUGUUUUCUUACCCCUCCCAAUUCAAGUGCAUAAUCUCAGCUACGGUGGCUGUUAUAGAACAAAAAGUUUUAGUCACCUAAGAGAGAUCAAAACCAUUACAUUUAGCCAGCUGCUGCUGGCUGGCGUGUUUCUACUACUGUUUGUGUAAAACAAAUAUAUUUUUGUACACAGUAUUUUUGAAUAUGUUGAAUAAUGUCAAACCUUUCUGAACUUUUCUGUCAUAAGCGCUGCUGUUUUUUGCUCUUGUUAGCUGCUUUGAAGUAGAUUCAGACACUUGGCGAAUUAACUCUCAUAUGAUGUGAGAAUAUAAUCAAGCUGUUUAUCAGAGGGAAUGCGUGGUUUCAAGGAUACUUGAUCCUAUCGUUAGCUGGUAUUGCGUUAGCUCAUAACCAGCUGUUUUCGUUUAGUCGGCUCAUUGUCGGCUGUUCAGAGGAGAGUUGUGUGUCUAAUAAAUGAAGAAUAAAUGAG